GUCUACGGCCAUGCUACUCUGAACAUGUCUGAUCUCUUUCUGAUCUCGGAAGCUAAGCAAGGUAGAACCUGGUUCUGGUUAGUACUUGGAUGGGAGACCACCUAGGAAUACCAGGUGCUGUAGGCA
rnacentral:rRNA from 1 species